rnacentral:rRNA from 1 species
GGGUAGAGCGUCGGAGUGCGGUGCGGCUGGAUUAUUAGCGCGUUAAGUGUUUAUAUUUAGGCCGCUGAGAAGGUCUUUGCCCUCGAUCCCAAAGCGGAGAGGUGGGCCGGGAGAGAGGGCGGAUAAGGAGGAGGCGCGUGGUCGCUGGGGAGAGGGGCGGCGGUACCCCUGCCUCGCCUUCGCGUUCCACUCGGAGAAGCUGCAACAGCUGCUCUGGAGGCAUAGGCGCUUCGAGCCGGCGCGGCCGUAGUUACCACGGCGGCGGCGGCGGCGCCGGUUAGGCAGGUAGUUGGCCACCUUGCCGGCCGGGAUGAGCCGCGCGAUGGAUCUCUAGGAGCUCUUCGCGGCGUGCGAGGGGCACACCGUCGUCUUCCUGCUCAAGGAGGCGCAGGAGGCGCUGUUGGUCUGGGAGUAGGAACAGCCUCUUUGGCCUUCACCGUUCUGGUGAGUCUAGGGGGUUAAACACGAGCUCCGACUUCCAAACUCGUUGGCAAGAUACCAACGGACGUGGGUCGGCGCAUCCCAACGACGUUACAGCCAGAGAGCCGCACAGCGCCUCCUCUACCUACAGUGUUAGCCCCUCCUUCAACCAAUGUCAUAGGCUAAGCUUCUAACGUCGUCAGUGUUUUGACAAGAGUUUAUAAACUGUCUACCAUACGAAGACUCUCUUCGUUACCGUCUGGGUGAAAAUCUCUCCAUGUUCCACUAACAAGAACUGCUCCGAGUACUCGCGUGCAACCGUUGCCUACAAGACAAACCCGAAGACUUCCUUCAAGAUUUCUUGUCCGGACUGAACUUCGAACAACAAUACUCACGAUGAGAACUCCGUCUCUUCAAAGUCCCAAUAAAGUCACCACGUGGUAACUACUUUCAAGGACCAUCUGAAGUAGGCCAACUCUAGAAGAUAUGAGUCCUUGGUCUUUCCCUGAUAGAUCUUCGACGAUAGUCCUGUCAACACGUCUAUGUAUACACACUUGGACGACCACUAUAGGAACAUAAGGAAUGACCUCUUCUCCUCUAACUCCUACGCACAGCCUUUUAUUUGUUCCUUCAAUUAUUGUACCCACUAGUCCAACCGGGUCAAUUUCAGCACGGCAACAUGAGAUGAGAGGGGGGACGUUACGUCGUCUUCUAAAAACUGGGACGAGGUGGAGGUAACUUUCUCCCUCCAGGACGACCUUCCUUUUAACAACACAGGUGUUUGUAACGACUCUGUAGGGAUUGGUAGCUACCAUAUCACAUACAAUAUCUAGGUCCCAAAAGGUUUGUCUUCCAAAUGUUAGGUUCCUAUUCCCACCUUAGGGAAAACCACAGAGGUUAAAGGUUCCGUUCACGCGUAGUCUCUCGACCAGCACGACCUUCUUGUGUCGGACCCUUCACGAAGUCCAACAUGUGUCUCUUCUCAAAAUUACCACUAAAUGUCGGAGUCUGGAUGGGUCUUUAAGAAGCCAGUUUGGACCGCUUAUGUCAAGAAUGAGACUUCUUCGAACCUUAACUACUAAACCACGUAAAACUGAAGUACCUAGGAGGACGUGGGCUUUGAGAUUACUCCCGGAACCUUCAAGACUUGAUGAACCCCCGUGAGCUGCUACUUCCGUUGAAUUGUAGAAAUCCACUUUACUACUCACUCAAGGGGAAUCUGGGUGUCUACAGUUUCUACGAACAGUAGUCAGGUUCCAUGUUGACAAGUUUACUCUAGGAGAGUUAUAGACGGUACGAUAGUCUAUCAACGACAUACAACUCAAUAAGACUGUUUCGUUUACCAUAGCAGAGCGGAGAAACGUAGACGACUGGUUGGCACCCGAAGCAGACAAUAAUGGUAUAGGAAACAGAUCAUGGGUUAACGAAAGAGGCCGGAUCCCUCCGUGUUUUCCGACGACUACUCCGCUUCCGAGCUAAACCCGUGUAGCUACCCCUAGUAGACUGUGAAAACUUGCACAUGGUACGUAUGUUCGUUUUGUUACUCCUAGGAUGUACCACAAUACUCUUAAAACAGUUACGGGCCCGCUACUUCAGACGACUAUUACAAUCUGUUGUUGAACAGGCGUAGUACUGGUCUAAGUUGGAGUUCUACACGUCAUGUCUGAAGUUGUCAGCACUCAUGAUACAGUUGUAGUCCUUUCGUUACGAAAGUCCCAUGAAAUACGUCCAACGAGUAGACCUCGCUUGACCCGUAAUGAAUUGGCAUUUCCUAUUAGUCCAACAGGUAGAAGUAGGGAGCUUAACGUACCUGGUAUUCGGCCUCACCCAGUAGAUGUUACUUAUACAAAACUGGUGGUCCUUAAAGUAGGCGUGUCAGUGGCUAUAGGCACCUCUCACCGAAUAGCUAUAUCGAGGUGUCAUGAUACUAGACUGGUUAAAGGGUAGUACGCUCCGGUUCGCACAAGAACUCUCCGAUGUGUUAUUCUCCCUCUCCCUUUCACGACGAUCAUCCUUGACUUAACUACAGUAAGAAGACCAGGGAACCUACCGUCGCGACGGUUUCCGAAACCUGUAGUGACAACCGGAGGUGGUAACAGUACUAUAGAAGGUACAGCAUCAAAAAGUCAUAACACCUGCCACUUUAGUGAUAUAUGCUGUAUACAGUUUACAGGGAGACGAUGACGUAAUGCUUAAUCUACGAACAAAAGGGAGACAAAAUCUUCCACAUCCAAUAGUAUGUAAUUAAUACACAGCCAGAGGUAUAAAAACCACAUAGUUUGCGACAACAAUGAAACAUGAAGUCGUAGGAAAACCGAUCAAAAGUGCCUUAAUGACUGUAGCGUGACACAAAUGAUUGAAGACUCUAUUGAACACAUUGAUCAGUCCUUUAAUGUGGGAGGCAGGACUUAAUAAACAGAAUCUAAACAG